AAAAAGAAAAUGGAAUUAGAAUUUUCAAAGAAAACAAAAGGUCACUUGGAAAAGAAAUGGACUUAAGAUGGUCAAGCGAAUAUUGAGAGAGAAGAAGAAAACGAGUUAAUCUCCGAAAAAAAAAAUGAAACAAAAAUUCUAAAAACUAACAAUUAACAUGGAGAAUCAGUUGAUUAACAUUUUCUUUCAAAUUCUUUCGUGAGAUUAGCCCUUGUUGUCUAUUCUCAGAGCAAUUCGCUAAUUUUCCCUCUUUGUGAUUAGUCAAUUCGGUUUGAAUUUCGUUUUCUAUUUUUUUAUCAUUUGUUGAUCAUUCUAAUUGUUACAAUUACUAAAUUAAUUUAUUUUCUUUUUUUAUGAUUGUAAUUAGAAGGAGAAGAAUUUUAACAAAUUAAAAUAACUGAAUCGAAAUUCAUUUGGUUUUUGUUGUCUAAUUUUCUACAAUCAAUUUAACUGUUAAGGUAAAUUUUCACAAAACAAGGAAACGGAAUAUUGAUGUUAAACAGUAAACAAAAUUUAUCAGUUUUAUCAACAAUCUUCUUAACCAUCUCUCUCAUCAAGCUAAAUCAUCAUCAUUUUCAUUGUUUGGCCAUUUUUUUCAUCUUCUUCUUCUUCUUCUGAGUGACCAUCAAGAUUUUACAGGUUAAAACAAUUAUCUAAUUUGUCAUCUUAUUGACCAUCACUUACCAUUUGUGCAACUGCUCGGACAACCUUGAUUGGAUUACUUCUUGCCGCAUAAUCUAAACGUGUUUUCCCCAUCAUAUACAUAAUUGCAGGUAAACGGUAUCCAAUUUAGACCAUGGAUUAAAAAGGAUGUAAAUGUCUUCCCUCACAUCGAAAGACCUUAUAUUUCGAGAUCCAUUUUGUUUAGUUGAGAUUCGUAAUUUCCAUGCCGCUACUGCAGCGGUUGGUGGU